rnacentral:rRNA from 1 species
AUGAACGCUUGAGAUAUGCUUAAUACAUGCAAGUUUUGUGUAUUUUCAAUGCAUUAAGCGAACGGGUGAGUAUAAAGAAAAAGCUACCUUUUUUAAGAUUGCUAUUUUUAUUUAGAUUUAAAAGAGAUGCUUUUUCAUAAAGUUUAGAUAGGAGUAGUUCUUGUCAACGAUCUUUAGCUGGAUUGAAAGAUUGAUCAGCCACACUGGCACUGAGAAAAGGGCCAGACUUCUUUGAAGGCAGCAGUAGGGAAUACUGGACAAUGAGCGUAAGCUUGAUCCGACAAUAUCUCGUGGGUGAUUUGAAGGUUUACUGUAAAGCCCUUAUAUAAUGAGGAUAAUGACAGUAGUUAUAUAAAAAGCACCGG